ACGAUCGACCUGAAGGCUCAGGCACGAACAAGGGAAAAGAAAAGCUAUUCGAAUGAGAUUUAGUAUGAGUUAAUGGUUAUAGUUAGUAAGACAAUGGAAUCUAUUGUCAGAUAUUGUAAGGAAUGUAUUUGAAGGUCACGUACCUGGGGAAAUAAACUUUGAUGUAUGUAAAUUAAGUUCGAAUGUAUUAUUAUUUAGUAUUAUUCAGCUGAAAGAAAUGGUAUCGUGGAGAACCG
rnacentral:lncRNA from 1 species